rnacentral:rRNA from 1 species
GACGAACGCUGGCGGCGUGCUUAACACAUGCAAGUCGAACGGAAAGGCCCUGCUUUUGUGGGGUGCUCGAGUGGCGAACGGGUGAGUAACACGUGAGUAACCUGCCCUUGACUUUGGGAUAACUUCAGGAAACUGGGGCUAAUACCGGAUAGGAGCUCCUGCUGCAUGGGGGGGGUUGGAAAGUUUCGGCGGUUGGGGAUGGACUCGCGGCUUAUCAGCUUGUUGGUGGGGUAGUGGCUUACCAAGGCUUUGACGGGUAGCCGGCCUGAGAGGGUGACCGGCCACAUUGGGACUGAGAUACGGCCCAGACCCCUACGGGGGGGAGCAGUGGGGAAUAUUUCAAAAUGGGCGGAAGCCUGAUGCAGCAACGCCGCGGGCGGGAUGACGGCCUUCGGGUUGUAAACCGCUUUCGCCUGUGACGAAGCGGGAGUGACGGUAAUGGGUAAAGAAGCACCGGCUAACUACGUG